AAAAUAUAAAUUAAUAUUUGUUUUCUUUCUUUCAUUUUCACAUCAACAGACAUCCUUCUCAAUUAUUAUCAUCCCUAAAACACUCUCAAAGAAUAAAGAUCUUCAAAAAUAAAUUCAUUAAUUGACAUCCACCGCUAAUUUUUUCAUUAUCUUCCUUAUUGCCAUUUUCAUUCAAUAAUUUAAUGUUCUAUUCAAUAUCGGAAUAUCCUCGUCACUAACUCCAUCUUCAUCUCCACCAACCACCAUCAUCUUUAAUUUGUUGGUCGUCAUCUUCUCAAAUCCUUUUUGGUGAAUUUAUACAACCAUCAUCAAUGGCAUCGUUCGACAAUCAUCUUUCUCGCCCCUUUUCACAAUUGCCGCUACGGGCUCUUCAUAAUUGUUGCCUUCACCAUCAACGAUGUCAUGAAAUUAUUUAAACUACUUAUCACCGUUUCUCGGCCUCCUUGAAAGUUCUACGUAUGUUUCAAUUUAAUGAAUGCGCCUCAGUAUAAAACACCAAAAAAAAAAAAUAUUUUUCAACUUUGAACCAAAAAAAUUAGUCAAAAUCAAUAUAAAGAUCCAAACUUUGCAGCAAUUAUCAUAAAAGAAACAAUGAGGAUAAGCAAAUCUAAAAUAAAAUUAACAAGUAUAUGUAUACUUCCUCCGAUUCAGAUUAAGAAGAAAACAAAAUUUAAAAUUCUUCUCCAAUUAAUUUGGAUCUUUAGAUUUUUCUCGAUUCAGAUCGGAUAAAUCAGAUUUUCAUCCCACAAUUUUGAAUUUGAGAGAUGUUGUCUGGCGUUGUCUUUUUCACUUUUGUGUUCGUCGCCGAAAAAGUUGUUAUUGAAUGAGAAUGAGAAAUAACAAAG
rnacentral:lncRNA from 1 species